AACGAACGCUGGCGGCAUGCCUAACACAUGCAAGUCGAACGAGACCUUCGGGUCUAGUGGCGCACGGGUGCGUAACGCGUGGGAAUCUGCCCUUGUGUUCGGAAUAACAGUUGGAAACGACUGCUAAUACCGGAUGAUGACGUAAGUCCAAAGAUUUAUCGCCCAAGGAUGAGCCCGCGUAGGAUUAGCUAGUUGGUGAGGUAAAGGCUCACCAAGGCGACGAUCCUUAGCUGGUCUGAGAGGAUGAUCAGCCACACUGGGACUGAGACACGGCCCAGACUCCUACGGGAGGCAGCAGUGGGGAAUAUUGGACAAUGGGCGAAAGCCUGAUCCAGCAAUGCCGCGUGAGUGAUGAAGGCCUUAGGGUUGUAAAGCUCUUUUACCCGGGAUGAUAAUGACAGUACCGGGAGAAUAAGCUCCGGCUAACUCCGUG
rnacentral:rRNA from 1 species